GUUUAAUUUUAGUGUGGCUGCAUUUAGUGACUGCCAUUUUGUAUAUAAGGGUAACUCGGGAAUUUUUUUUCCCCAGAAUUCUUGCAGCUCCUGGCCCGAAAAAAAUGGUUUUUCUCCUGUGAUUUUUAUCAUAAAUGAACGGUUCGCGAUGAUUUCUUAACUUAAAACCAUGAAUUCGCAGCACACACAGCACCUUCUCUCCUUGGCGGGAUGAGCUACAAAUUUUAUAAGCUUCCCUGAAACACAUCACAAAUUAAGAGUGCUUCAAAUUCUAGGGCAAAAUAUUUCCUCCUCCACCACCUCCUCCUCCUCCUCAACCUCCGCCUCCUCCAAUCCAUGCUUACUUACUGGAAGAGAAAGUCUAGUACGACUAAUCGGAAAGCGCCGCAAAAUCCUCUCAGAUCGUCAAUCCUUUCUACUUACACCUUCCGUGGUAAUAAUCAAUUUUCAAACCCUAAUUUCAUUUGUGAAUCCGACAAACAAAACCCUAAUUUUUUUCAUUGAUAUGAAACUAGAAAUGCGUUAUCAUCUCAUCAAGUCGACUAAUGGAGCAGAGGUUUGUCAAUCCAGUAAAUUGGAUGAUGAUGUUUCUGUUGAGAUCGGGGGAUCAGAUUCUUCCUAUGUUAUUUGUCCUGUUUGUGGAAAUGCCGUUCAAGGAUCAGAUCAUGAAUUCUCAUUUAGGUAGGAUUGGUUUUCAAUGCUAAAUGUUACUUUGGAGAUUACAAGGUGUUUGAUUAAAUUACUGUUUCAGUUUAGUUUUAAAAAGCUCAGGGAUAUAAUAUGUAGUAUUACCAAAGGAUGAGAAAGUUGGGGGAAAUGCCAUCAUUCAAUUGCCUGUGAUUGACGAUAAUUAUGACGUUCAUUAUGUGUUGCCACUGAAAUCAUUUCCUAAGUUAGAAACUCAUGAAGAGGUUAAGAUGGAAAUUUUGUCAGGUGAAGAUUAUAAUCCAUCAGAUGAUGACAUUUUUGAGGAGAAAGAUGUGAAUGUGGCUCAUCUGUUUGUAAUGUUAUGUUCCCUAAGCAUGAAGUAGAUGGAUCUACUGAUCGUACUUUGGUGGCAAUUUUCUCUAUUUUCAUUGCGAUAGAUUUGGUGAGGAAGUUGAUUUAAGGAAAGGGCAUACCAUCUCUUUUGUAAGGGACCAAUAUAAUGUUAAAGAUCCCAGUGCAAUAAAGAUUCUGGAAGUGAAAAAGUUGUUGGUCACAACCUCUGGGAGUUGGCUAGGUAUCUCUCCCCUGUAAUUGAGAAGAACUGUAUUUGAGGUUGUAUGUCAAAGAAUGGCCGGGAAGACGUUCUUCAUGAGGUUGAGUGCGAAAAAAACUUCAUCUCUAGCAAGAGAAAGUAGCGGCGGAAUUUUCGUCUUUUGAUUCAAGAAGUUUUGAGGAGUCAUUAGCACCUUUUAAAAGAUGAAGAAAAUUUUUAUGCAGGAUCAUUUAAAUCACUAUCGGACGAUAGUCAGAAUAUCUUUGUUCGACUUUUUACCCAAAAAGGGCCAUGGUUCCGGGUGACUAAUAUUUCCUACCAAGAAGUUACAGAUCCUCAACAGGCUAUAGAGGGACUCUGUGCAAGGUGUUAUGGCUGUUCGUUCGAGUCCUUGAAGGAACCAGAUGGGUACAUAUAAAGGAGGUUCUAGAUGCACUCAUUGUUUCUGAGCUACUAAGACAUUUGUAGUUUGUCACACUCCAAGGUGCAUAUAUGUAUUUAUGCUCAAAUAGUCAUGUUUCAGGCCAUUACAUUUUUAGGCAUCUUCAAGAUCAUACUCCCUCCAUCCCAGUUUAGUUGAUUGUGUAGGUUUUUUUUUGGGGGCUCAUAUUACUUGAUAGUUUUAUUAUUUUGUCACAGAACUCCUAACUUCAGCCUCAAAUUGAAAUCAUACAAAAUAUUUUAGAAAAUUGCUUGGCAUUCUUAACCAGGAUCCAUAGACCCCCUUCCCUAGCAGAGCUUUAGCAUAUAGAUCUUUGUAAUGCUGUGUGCUAAUAAGCAUGGAUAUCAUUUGCAUAUUUGACUGUCUUGUGUACAAUAUACGUAAUCUUUAUUUAUUUUUCGUUAUUCACUUUCUUUUA